rnacentral:rRNA from 1 species
CAAGUCGAACGAUUAAAGCUCUCUUCGGAGAGUGCAUAAAGUGGCGCACGGGUGAGUAACACGUAAGUAAUCUACCUUCGAGUGGGGAAUAACGUCCGGAAACGGACGCUAAUACCGCAUAAUGCAGCGGCAUCGCAAGAUGACAGUUGUUAAAGAUUUAUCGCUUGAAGAGGAGCUUGCGGCAGAUUAGCUAGUUGGUAAGGUAAUGGCUUACCAAGGCUACGAUCUGUAACCGGUCUAAGAGGACGGUCGGUCACACUGACACUGAAUAACGGGUCAGACUCCUACGGGAGGCAGCAGUCGGGAAUUUUGGGCAAUGGGCGAAAGCCUGACCCAGCAACGCCGCGUGAAGGAUGAAGUAUUUCGGUAUGUAAACUUCGAAAGAAUAGGAAGAAUUAAUGACGGUACUAUUUAUAAGGUCCGGCUAACUACGUGCCAGCAGCCGCGGUAAUACGUAGGGACCAAGCGUUGUUCGGAUUUACUGGGCGUAAAGGGCGCGUAGGCGGCAAUUCAAGUCAUCUGUGAAAUCUCCGGGCUUAACUCGGAACGGUCAGAUGAUACUGCUUUGCUAGAGUGCGGAAGGGGCAAUCGGAAUUCUCGGUGUAGCGGUGAAAUGCGUAGAUAUCGAGAGGAACACCUGAGGUGAAGACGGGUUGCUGGGCCGACACUGACGCUGAUAGCGCGAAAGCCAGGGGAGCAAACGGGAUUAGAUACCCCGGUAGUCCUGGCCCUAAACGAUGAAUACUUGGUGUCUGGAGUUAUUAGUGCUCCGGGUGCCGUCGCUAACGUUUUUAGUAUUCCCGCCUGGGGAGUACGCUCGCAAGAGUGAAACUCAAAGGAAUUGACGGGGACCC